rnacentral:rRNA from 1 species
AUUGAACGCUGGCGGCAGGCCUAACACAUGCAAGUCGAGCGGAUGAAGGGAGCUUGCUCCUGGAUUCAGCGGCGGACGGGUGAGUAAUGCCUAGGAAUCUGCCUGGUAGUGGGGGAUAACGUCCGGAAACGGGCGCUAAUACCGCAUACGUCCUGAGGGAGAAAGUGGGGGAUCUUCGGACCUCACGCUAUCAGAUGAGCCUAGGUCGGAUUAGCUAGUUGGUGGGGUAAAGGCCUACCAAGGCGACGAUCCGUAACUGGUCUGAGAGGAUGAUCAGUCACACUGGAACUGAGACACGGUCCAGACUCCUACGGGAGGCAGCAGUGGGGAAUAUUGGACAAUGGGCGAAAGCCUGAUCCAGCCAUGCCGCGUGUGUGAAGAAGGUCUUCGGAUUGUAAAGCACUUUAAGUUGGGAGGAAGGGCAGUAAGUUAAUACCUUGCUGUUUUGACGUUACCAACAGAAUAAGACCGGCUAACUUCGUG